UACAGAGGUCUCAAGCGUUUGUUCGGAUUCAUUGGGCGUAAAGGGUGCGUAGGUGGCGCUGUAAGUCAGGUGUGAAAUUUCGGAGCUUAACUCCGAAACUGCAUUUGAUACUGCGGUGCUCGAGGACUGGAGAGGAGACUGGAAUUUACGGUGUAGCAGUGAAAAUGCGUAGAGAUCGUAAGGAAGACCAGUGGCGAAGGCGGGUCUCUGGACAGUUCCUGACACUGAGGCACGAAGGCCAGGGGGAGCAAAACGGGG
rnacentral:rRNA from 1 species